GGGGGGGGGGCGCAGAAUUUUUCUUUCGCCUAGGGCGCAACACAGCCUAGCGCCGGCCCUGGCGACCAGCCAGCCCUCGGAGGGUUAGAGGUUUAGCGGUGCGAAAAAUGUCUGUGGGAUGUAACUACGGCCCCAGACUUCCUGUCAUCUUUUAACAUGGUCAUCACUUUCUUAUUAACGCUUGCUGGAGCUAUCAGCAGUAACAUUUCUCUCUCAGAAGAUAAUUCUUUAGAUGCUAAGUACAGCAACCCUUCAGCAAUUCUCAGACUAUCUCACUGAGCUAAUAGUGUUCUAACGGGGGCGCUAUACUUUGAAACCUCUACUUUAGAUAGUUUCUCUCCCUUUUCCAUAAUGUACAACAUGUACAGUGCCAACUACAGCAUCUUCUCUCUGACGUUCAACUAGUUCUUCAUGAGACCAAAUCUCCAACCAGUUGCUUCUAUAUAGUCUACACACUGGUACACUGGGAACACACACACCCCACUACUUCAUUAGCUUCAGCCUCCUUCUGUUCACACUGUCCCUCUAUCAUACAGGAAUUAUAUUAUGGCACACAGGAACACACACAGAACUACUGUCACUAACUACUUCAUUAGCUUCACACCAUUGUUCCUCCAUCUAUCUACCCUCUAGAGACGCAGUGGAGAUGCCAUCGUUCAUGCUACCCUCGGACGUGUCAGCGGAGGUAUCCUCACUCGUGAGGGCCCUUUGCAUGCCCUCGCCUGACCUACUUGCAUCAUCUUUCCUGCUCUGAUUGUCACCGACAGGCAAGACAUGCGUCACUUCCCAAAGGUCACUAGGUCACAGUUUUUUACAACGCCUUCUGGGUAUUCUGGACAACCCAUCUUCCUUGUUCCCCGACACAAAAUUAGCAAACCAAGGACUGUCGCUAGGGCCGAUGAUAUCAUCUCUCACCAUCUUGUCUAGCUCCUUGUCCACGAUUUCCUUCCUUGCCAAAGGCGUGGAGAAAGUUUCACUGGUUUUUGGCAUCCCGUGUCGAUCGUAUGCCUAAUCCUCGAGUGCCCGCACCUAUACUGAAGUAAUAUCAAUACAAGGGGAUCUGCAACUGGCUGAUGUCCGACACCCCCAGUACCACCCUCCACCACAAUCUCUGGUGGUUGGCUGGAGGAUUGGCAAGAAAUGUAGCCCCGCCUCUGAUGCUAGUAUAAACUGGUCCCUUUUGUACUUCUCAUCAGUUCGCCUUCUGUUUUGCCGUGUCAACAACUCAACGUUUGGCUUUAUUGUAUGAAAAUAUUUUCUUCAUCAUUUGCUCGACUAGUCCUAAUGUGGAAGGAAAAUGGAGAUCAGCAGCCAUAUGUAUAAAUAAACACUUCACGACGACCUUUUUUUGUGAAAGCAUCGAAUUUUGUGCUCAUCUAGUUUCUCCUACACUCUAGAACCGGAAAUAUAAACAUUUGUGUCAAGCAUCGUACGGACACAGGUGGCAGGCCACCUGACAGCUUUUCAUUCAAAGGAGCGUUGUGGGCAAAGUGGGUCUGGUGGAGACGCUUCGACCUACGUCAGCUCUUCACUAGCAGAAGAAAAUUUGUAAUCAUCAAACAUCGUUCAGAUUAAUUCGGUGGAGUUCCUCGACCCGUUAGGCAUCGCUGGAGCUAGUGGUUACAUCAUAAAAUACUUUGUUGAACCACAUCUUUUUGAGUCUUUCUUGAGCCAUACACUUCCGCAAUGACUACGAUGAGCCUCUGAAGUAUACACAGUGGCCAAACGUGAGUAUCAUCUUCUAUUCUUAAAAAAGCAAAAUUCUUUUCACAGAAUGUACACAUACUUUUUUCAAGAUUGCGAGAACUGGAAGCCCUUUUUCAUUUGGCAAUAUGACAGAUUUUUUACACUCUUCGAUGCAUAAUUUUUGCUAUGUAGUCGAGUGUUGGGGUAUUGUAUAAUGUGUAGUUUUUGUCCCCCGCACUCAGUCAGAUGCAGGAAGAGAGCUUGCAGAUGUCACAUCUUAUAUUCAAUGAGCUGUACAGAAUACUUCAGUGUCAUGAGAGGCAGCUCUCUCUCCCUGUUUGUGCUGCGUUGCUGCUCCUAUCCCCAGCAUGUCUGUCUUCCUGUCUCAGCUCUAACCCAUGUAUAUACAUCCAGAAUCUCCUGUAGGCCCUCUAAAAUCAGUGCCGUUAGCCCUUAUCAAUCAUCGUGAAGUACAAUUUUGGCGCCGUGUUGCAUCGCCCACCUGAAUUCACCGCCGGGCUACCGACCACCCUUCAAUAUCUCAAUAGAAGCCAGAACAUUAAAGACAAAAAAAACAAAACAACCCACUGCUUAAUUCAAUGGUUACUUUUAACUGAAAGUUUACAGUGAGUUGUUGCUUUUGUUCCAUAAAGUCCGGAAACGUAAAAAGGCCAACAGUUGCCUUGCCUAUCACCAACCACAGGUAAAUGUUUCUUUCGGCAGCAAAUUCUUCAACCUACCACACUACUUGUCACCUGGCAUCUGCAGUCGUAAAGAACACCAAAAGAAGAGUAACCUUGAGCAUUUACUGCUUAUUAGGAAAUUUAAAACGGAAAUUGUCAGUUUUAAAAAAUCGUCUUUAAAUAAUGGGAUUGAAAGGAAAUAUACCAUAAAUUAGAAAAUUGAACCUAACAGUUAUACUUUAUUAGUUCCGCGUACAAUUUCGAAGCGCAAACAAAUCCUAUUUAUCUUUGCAUACAAUCAUUUUCUAAAGCAGCUCGGAACGGAUUACAAAAUCCGUUAUUUUCCCAAGGAAUCAUUUUGCUCCUCCUGCCCUAGUCAGUCUGGUGCGUCAGGUGGUGGCGUGAAUUUGACCCAAUUGACUAGAAAAGUGUAAAAUAAUACUGGGGUAAGGGGUGGAAGCAGCUAACAGUUUAGAUGAAUGGUCAGCAAGACUUUGAUUAGUUUACUUUAUUUCUUCUUACUCCUCGAGGAGCAUAGGCCUUAUUCAGUUUUAUUUUGUCAUUCUUCUAUCAGUUACAGAAAUCGUUGGCCUGGAAACAUUUUCAGCAAUGAUUGCCAUAUCAAAGCAUGUAUAUGCCACAUUGAUCUGUUACUUUUUGUAACUUUAUCGUCUGUAACGCUAGUAUUCUCCAGAACUUUAAUCUUUAUGAUAUAUCUUCAAACUCACAAUGUCAACGUUUCAAUACAUCACGUCUCUGCCAGCACCAUUGAAAUAAGGAGGGUCUCAGGGUUUUAAUUAUUGUUUGUGAAAAGUUAAAAUGCUUCCAACGAAAGACGAAUUUUAAGACUACUGUUUCCAUCAAUUUUUUAUCCAUGCACUUAGCGCACUUUAUCAGUGUCAUUUAUUUUUGACAAUUAUUUUUCUUGUUUGGUUGACUUGGCUUGCUUUUUGUUGUGUAUAGAGCAUGAACAUAGCAUGCACAUGGGAAAUAAGCUUCAUACAAUUUAAUACUUUUAUUAAAUAUAAUUAUUCAUUUUCAUAAAAUUACAAGAUGUUAUUCUAUUAUAAUUUUAAUUUUUUUUUUAUUAAUAAAGUUUCUUUAUUUCAUAGAACAUGUUAAGACGGUAGUUAUGUUUUUUGCAACUUGUUUUCCUAAUCUUUUUGAUAGAUGGUACUUUCGACAAUGAACAGCAUCUUAUGCAGGCGUCGGUUAGCAGUAUACACUUCUUCGUUUCUGUUUUGUCUAUCAUAUGUAAAUGGUAAGAUUGCCAGACUAAACGAUCUUUGUGUUUCAAGAGAUUAAUCAGCCUAAUGCUAGAUACCUAUCUGGAUGUCUUCAUAGCCUGUGUAUCUUUACGUUUUUUCACUUAUGUCUGUGCCGGUCUAGCGAGUAGCUUUGAAUAUUACUUUUUACUUGACACUGCUUAAGUAACAUAAAUGUUUUUGGAUAAUCUUCCAAUUGAUGCUCAAAACAAUUACUUCUAUUUUGUCUUAGGUAUUAAGAAACAUGAUUUUUAGAAUUCUAGCAUAAAAAUAAAUAAAUUACUUUUCUAUGAGAAAGCUAUUUCUUCAAGAGAAAAUGUUAUCAUCUAAAGGACUUUCACGGGCAUUUUUACAGUUGAAGAAAGCACUUGCAAGCUGCAGUCAACUGGAAACUGCACAAAUGCCAUCGUAGUGACGAUUGAUGAAAAAUCUUCUAAGGAAAAAACAUCGUUCAGCCUGUACUACUACCCAGCGGGGAAGAAAAAACUUGUUGCUGAGCUACUCUACGACAAACCUUACAGUUGUUAUCCAACAAAUGGCUACACGUGCACAAAAACUACCGAUGUCACCUUAAACAUCAAUUUAGGAUGUGCAACUCUGCAAAAUGUUACACUGGUAGGCGAUGGACAACAACCAGUAACGUGUAUACCUAUGGAAAGUAAGUUUUGAUACGAAUACUUUCUUGACAUGCAAAUUAGACUAAAUGUGGUCUGUUAUGAAGGAUAUUACCUUUAUCGCUAUGGACUGCCUUUUUAUGUUUAUUCUUUUAUGCUAUGUUUAUCCAAUUUUACAGUAUUUCAGUUCAAAUGACGAUUAUGAUUGAAAGUAUAUCUUUGGUCAGACAGAUUAUGAUGAUAUUUCCCUAUGACAAUGUUUAUCUGCGAGUCACACAAAAUUUAUCUGAGCAGUCUAUAAUACAUGCCGAGUUUUCUAGACCUUGGAACAGCUGAACAAAUGUUGGUAUUAAUCCUGCUUUGUGUUCCUUGCUUAUGCUUGUUCAUUGUAGUAUACAUAGGUUCACACAUAUCUGCUAUCAACAACUUCAGGAACAUGCAAGACUCAAUAGCUACAAUAGAAAUCGAAAGGCAUGGCCUCCCCAUACAAAGGAAGAUUAUAUAUUAUCAGUUUGUUAUGUUUGUAGGAAUCCAAACAGCAAUAUAAAAGUUUGAUGAAAUAAAUGAGGUCAAGAAUCAUGUGUGUAAACAAUAUUUUUAUUAACAAAGAUUUAUAUCAGUUUUUUUUCCUUCUGACAUAGAUUCACCAGUGAAAAGUACACAAAACAACAACAAUCACAACUGCUCUGUUUGUCCUGAUUGUGAACCUGAAGACAUUAUUUAAUGAAAUUUUCAUUUUCUUGUUCAGAUACAGUCUACAUCAGAUCUUACUAGAUAAUGAAACUGAACAAGUUAAACAAAUGGAUGUUGCAGACGAAUUAUAUUGCAUAAUAAUGAGCAGUCUCUGUACUUAACCAGUUUGCAAGUGCAAUAUGAUUUAAACCAAAAAUUCAGUUAUGACACUCUUGGUUUCUUUUGCAGACACAGCAUCAGCAAACUCUGUUUAUCACAGUAGACAAAAACGGUGCGCAUGUCCGAAAGGUGAGUAUUUUGAGAUUUCACAUUUGAGUAUGUGUUGUGAUUAAGGAUUUUCUGAUGGCAGGGAGAUGCACUCUAACACCAAAGUCUUCCAUUACAUUUUUUUUACCAAACAGGGACACCCUUUCACACGCCUUCAAUAUAUCUCACGUUUUUGAAAUAGUCCCAAUAAGGAAAUGAAGAG
rnacentral:lncRNA from 1 species